AAUAUUUGUCUAAAGUGUACCUAUGUAGUCUUGGCGAAAUCUGUGAUUAUAGAAACCUGGCAAGAGCAGUGCUUCGCAGAGUCUACCGCCGGACCAGAAUCGAGACCCACUGAGAAGACCUGGUGAGAAACUCAAUGGGCUAUAUGGGUUAGUUCGCUCGCCAAACUCUUCGUCGUAUUCGAGGAGUUUGACGAGGACGGUGACCGAUGCUCGAAGACCCUAAAAUCCCCGAGUGUGGACUCAGGAUAUCCUACAAGAACCAUUUCAGGCGACGGCGGCUGUGCGUUGCACCGUCGCUUGGGUCGAAUAUGACGUGUAUCUAUCUAACUAUUUAUGUAAUAAAAUAUUUUCUUUUUCACUAA